rnacentral:misc_RNA from 1 species
GAUGAAGAACGUAGCGAAAUGCGAUAAGUAGCGUGAAUUGCAGAAUUCAGUGAAUCAUCGAAUCUUUGAACGCACAUUGCGCCCCUUGGUAUUCCAUGGGGCAUGCCUGUUCGAGCGUCAUCUACACCCUCAAGCUCUGCUUGGUGUUGGGCGUCUGUCCCGCCUUUGCGCGUGGACUCGCCCCAAAUUCAUUGGCAGCGGUCCUUGCCUCCUCUCGCGCAGCACAUUUGCGCUUCUCGAGGUGCGCGGGCCGCGUCCACGAAGCAACUAUUACCGUCUUUGACCUCGGAUCAGGUAGGGAUACCCGCUGAACUUAAGCAUAUCAAUAAGCGGAGGA